UUAAGCGACUAAGCGUACACGGUGGAUGCCCUGGCAGUCAGAGGCGAUGAAGGACGUGCUAAUCUGCGAAAAGCGUCGGUAAGGUGAUAUGAACCGUUACAGCCGGCGAUGUCCGAAUGGGGAAACCCAGUGCAAUUCGUUGCACUAUCGUUAACUGAAUACAUAGGUUAACGAGGCGAACCGGGGGAACUGAAACAUCUAAGUACCCCGAGGAAAAGAAAUCAACCGAGAUUCCCCCAGUAGCGGCGAGCGAACGGGGAGCAGCCCAGAGUCUGAAUCAGCUUGUGUGUUAGUGGAACGGUCUGGAAAGUCCGACGGUACAGGGUGAUAGUCCCGUACACCAAAAUGCACAGGUUGUGAACUCGAAGAGUAGGGCGGGACACGUGGUAUCCUGUCUGAAUAUGGGGGGACCAUCCUCCAAGGCUAAAUACUCCUGACUGACCGAUAGUGAACCAGUACCGUGAGGGAAAGGCGAAAAGAACCCCGGCGAGGGGAGUGAAAAAGAACCUGAAACCGUGUACGUACAAGCAGUGGGAGCACCUUCGGGUGUGACUGCGUACCUUUUGUAUAAUGGGUCAGCGACUUAUAUUCUGUAGCAAGGUUAACCGUAUAGGGGAGCCGCAGGGAAACCGAGUCUUAACUGGGCGUUAAGUUGCAGGGUAUAGACCCGAAACCCGGUGAUCUAGCCAUGGGCAGGUUGAAGGUUGGGUAACACUAACUGGAGGACCGAACCGACUAAUGUUGAAAAAUUAGCGGAUGACUUGUGGCUGGGGGUGAAAGGCCAAUCAAACCGGGAGAUAGCUGGUUCUCCCCGAAAGCUAUUUAGGUAGCGCCUCGUGAACUCAUCUUCGGGGGUAGAGCACUGUUUCGGCUAGGGGGUCAUCCCGACUUACCAACCCGAUGCAAACUACGAAUACCGAAGAAUGUUAUCACGGGAGACACACGGCGGGUGCUAACGUCCGUCGUGAAGAGGGAAACAACCCAGACCGCCAGCUAAGGUCCCAAAGUCAUGGUUAAGUGGGAAACGAUGUGGGAAGGCACAGACAGCCAGGAUGUUGGCUUAGAAGCAGCCAUCAUUUAAAGAAAGCGUAAUAGCUCACUGGUCGAGUCGGCCUGCGCGGAAGAUGUAACGGGGCUAAACCAUGCACCGAAGCUGCGGCAGCGACACUAUGUGUUGUUGGGUAGGGGAGCGUUCUGUAAGCCUGCGAAGGUGUGCUGUGAGGCAUGCUGGAGGUAUCAGAAGUGCGAAUGCUGACAUAAGUAACGAUAAAGCGGGUGAAAAGCCCGCUCGCCGGAAGACCAAGGGUUCCUGUCCAACGUUAAUCGGGGCAGGGUGAGUCGACCCCUAAGGCGAGGCCGAAAGGCGUAGUCGAUGGGAAACAGGUUAAUAUUCCUGUACUUGGUGUUACUGCGAAGGGGGGACGGAGAAGGCUAUGUUAGCCGGGCGACGGUUGUCCCGGUUUAAGCAUGUAGGCUGGUUAUCCAGGCAAAUCCGGAUAAUCAAGGCUGAGGUGUGAUGACGAGGCACUACGGUGCUGAAGUAACAAAUGCCCUGCUUCCAGGAAAAGCCUCUAAGCAUCAGGUAACAUCAAAUCGUACCCCAAACCGACACAGGUGGUCAGGUAGAGAAUACCAAGGCGCUUGAGAGAACUCGGGUGAAGGAACUAGGCAAAAUGGUGCCGUAACUUCGGGAGAAGGCACGCUGGUGUGUAGGUGAAGUCCCUGCGGAUGGAGCUGAGACCAGUCGAAGAUACCAGCUGGCUGCAACUGUUUAUUAAAAACACAGCACUGUGCAAACACGAAAGUGGACGUAUACGGUGUGACGCCUGCCCGGUGCCGGAAGGUUAAUUGAUGGGGUUAUCCGUAAGGAGAAGCUCUUGAUCGAAGCCCCGGUAAACGGCGGCCGUAACUAUAACGGUCCUAAGGUAGCGAAAUUCCUUGUCGGGUAAGUUCCGACCUGCACGAAUGGCGUAAUGAUGGCCAGGCUGUCUCCACCCGAGACUCAGUGAAAUUGAACUCGCUGUGAAGAUGCAGUGUACCCGCGGCAAGACGGAAAGACCCCGUGAACCUUUACUAUAGCUUGACACUGAACAUUGAGCCUUGAUGUGUAGGAUAGGUGGGAGGCUUUGAAGCGUGGACGCCAGUCUGCGUGGAGCCAACCUUGAAAUACCACCCUUUAAUGUUUGAUGUUCUAACGUUGGCCCCUGACCGGGGUUGCGGACAGUGUCUGGUGGGUAGUUUGACUGGGGCGGUCUCCUCCCAAAGCGUAACGGAGGAGCACGAAGGUUAGCUAAUCCUGGUCGGACAUCAGGAGGUUAGUGCAAUGGCAUAAGCUAGCUUGACUGCGAGCGUGACGGCGCGAGCAGGUGCGAAAGCAGGUCAUAGUGAUCCGGUGGUUCUGAAUGGAAGGGCCAUCGCUCAACGGAUAAAAGGUACUCCGGGGAUAACAGGCUGAUACCGCCCAAGAGUUCAUAUCGACGGCGGUGUUUGGCACCUCGAUGUCGGCUCAUCACAUCCUGGGGCUGAAGUAGGUCCCAAGGGUAUGGCUGUUCGCCAUUUAAAGUGGUACGCGAGCUGGGUUUAGAACGUCGUGAGACAGUUCGGUCCCUAUCUGCCGUGGGCGCUGGAGAAUUGAGGGGGGCUGCUCCUAGUACGAGAGGACCGGAGUGGACGCAUCACUGGUGUUCGGGUUGUCAUGCCAAUGGCACUGCCCGGUAGCUAAAUGCGGAAGAGAUAAGUGCUGAAAGCAUCUAAGCACGAAACUUGCCCCGAGAUGAGUUCUCCCUGAGACU
rnacentral:rRNA from 1 species